CCAGGCUGGGUGUAGGCUUGGUUUUGGUACUGAGCAUCACUUGUUUACAUUAAGGCAUCUUAUCUCAAAGCACACUGUGGCCGGAGCCAGGCCGAUUAUUAUCAUGUAAAUUGACUUUAGUAAGGCGUUCGACUCCGUUGACCAUGAGACACUUGGGGCUUCCUCAUGUCGUACGGGCGACACGGGCGCAUCCUCGAUUCUCUGAAGGCUAGCUACGCUGACGUGAAGGUUCGGG
rnacentral:lncRNA from 1 species